CAAAAAAUAGUUUAAAUAAAAUAUUAAUUUUGGGUAUUAAUGAUAUUAAUUUAUUAUUAAUUUUUUUGA
rnacentral:tRNA from 1 species